rnacentral:rRNA from 1 species
UACGAACCGAGCGACUGUUGUUCGGAAUCACUGGGCUUAAAGGGUGCGUAGGCGGGCUGCCAAGUUUGAGGUGAAAUCCUCCGGCUCAACCGGGGAAGUGCCUUGAAUACUGGCGGUCUGGAGGGAGGUAGGGGCGUGCGGAACUAACGGUGGAGCGGUGAAAUGCGUUGAUAUCGUUAGGAACUCCGGUGGCGAAGGCGGCACGCUAGACCUCGUCUGACGCUGAGGCACGAAAGCCAGGGGAGCGAACGGG